rnacentral:rRNA from 1 species
ACGAACGCUGGCGGCGUGCUUAACACAUGCAAGUCGAACGGAAAGGCCCUGCUUGCCGGGUACUCGAGUGGCGAACGGGUGAGUAACACGUGGGUGAUCUGCCCUGCACUUCGGGAUAAGCCUGGGAAACUGGGUCUAAUACCGGAUAGGAGCCAUUUUUAGUGUGAUGGUUGGAAAGUUUUUUCGGUGUAGGAUGAGCUCGCGGCCUAUCAGCUUGUUGGUGGGGUAAUGGCCUACCAAGGCGGCGACGGGUAGCCGGCCUGAGAGGGUGGACGGCCACAUUGGGACUGAGAUACGGCCCAGACUCCUACGGGAGGCAGCAGUGGGGAAUAUUGCACAAUGGGCGCAAGCCUGACGCAGCGACGCCGCGUGGGGGAUGACGGCCUUCGGGUUGUAAACUCCUUUCGCUAGGGACGAAGCUUUUUGUGACGGUACCUAGAUAAGAAGCACCGGCUAACUACGUG